rnacentral:tRNA from 1 species
GGCCAUAUAGUGUAGUGGUCAUCACUCGGGAUUUUGAUUCCCGCAACCCAGGUUCGAACCCUGGUAUGGCCU